ensembl:lncRNA
GGGCUGUGGUGGUCUCUGUCAGUGGUGGGGCUGUGGGUGUGGUGGUCUCUGUGGUGGUGGUUGUCAGUGGUGUGGGUGUGGUGGUCUCUGUCAGUGGUGGGGCUGUGGGUGUGGUGGUCUCUGUGGUGGUGGUUGUCAGUGGUGUGGGUGUGGUGGUCUCUGUCAGUGGUGGGGCUGUGGGUGUGGUGGUCUCUGUGGUGGUGGUUGUCAGUGGUGUGGCUGUGGUGGUCUCUGUCAGUGGCGUGGCUCUGGGUGUGGUGGUCUCUGUGGUGGUGGUUGUCAGUGGUAUGGCUGUGGGGGUGAUGGUCUCUGUCAGUGGUAUGACUGUGGGUGUAGUGGUUUUUCUGGUGGUCUCUGUCAGUGGUGGGGCUGUGGGUGUGGUGGUCUCUGUGGUGGUGGUUGUCAGUGGUGUGGCUGUGGUGGUCUCUGUCAGUGGUGUGACUGUGGGUGUGGUGGUCUCUGUCAGUGGUAUGACUGUGGGUGUAGUGGUUUUUCUGGUGGUCUCUGUCAGUGGUGGGGCUGUGGGUGUGGUGGUCUCUGUGGUGGUGGUUGUCAGUGGUGUGGGUGUGGUGGUCUCUGUCAGUGGUGGGGCUGUGGGUGUGGUGGUCUCUGUGGUGGUGGUUGUCAGUGGUGUGGGUGUGGUGGUCUCUGUCAGUGGUGGGGCUGUGGGUGUGGUGGUCUCUGUGGUGGUGGUUGUCAGUGGGUGUGGUG